CUUCCACAAUGGCCAAACUAAUUUACACUACCACCAACAGUGUAAAAGCGUUCCUAUUUCUCCACAGCCUCGCCAGCAUCUGUUGUUUCCAGACUUCUUAAUAAUCGCCAUUCUAACCGGCGUGUGAUGAUAUCUCAUCGUGGUUUUGAUUUGCGUUCCUCUAAUGACCGAUGAUGAUGAACUUUUAUGUUUGUUGGCCACAUAAAUGUCUUCUUUGGAAAAGUGUCUUUUCAUAUCCUUUGCCCACUUUUUGAUGGAUUUUCUUGUAAAUUUGUUUAACUUCCUUGUAGAUUCUGGAUAUUAGACCUUUGUCAGAUAGAUAGCUUGCAAAAAUUUUCUCCCAUUCUGUAGGUUGCCUGUUCACUCUGAUAGUUUCUUUUGCUGAGCAGAAGCUCUUUAAUUAGAUCCCAUUUGUCAACUUUAGCUUCUGUUGCAAUUGCUUUUGGUGUUUUAGUCAUGAAGUCUUUGCCCAUGCCUAUGUCCUGAAUGGCAUUGCCUAGGUUUUCUUCUAGGGUUUUUAUAGUUUUAGGUUUUACGUUUAAGCCUUUAAUCCAUCUUGAAUUAAUUUUUUGUAUAAGGUGUAAGGAAGGGGUCCAGUUU
rnacentral:lncRNA from 1 species